GACGAACGCUGGCGGCGUGCCUAAUACAUGCAAGUCGAACGCUUCUUUCCUCCCGAGUGCUUGCACUCAAUUGGAAAGCGGAGUGGCGGACGGGUGAGUAACACGUGGGUAACCUACCCAUCAGAGGGGGAUAACACUUGGAAACAGGUGCUAAUACCGCAUAACAGUUUAUGCCGCAUGGCAUAAGAGUGAAAGGCGCUUUCGGGUGUCGUUGAUGGAUGGACCCGCGGUGCAUUAGCUAGUUGGUGAGGUAACGGCUCACCAAGGCCACGAUGCAUAGCCGACCUGAGAGGGUGGUCGGCCACACUGGGACUGGGACACGGCCCAGACUCCUACGGGAGGCAACAGUAGGGAAUCUUCGGCAAUGGACGAAAGUCUGACCGAGCAACGCCGCGUGAGUGAAGAAGGUUUUCGGAUCGUAAAACUCUGUUGUUAGAGAAGAACAAGGACGUUAGUAACUGAACGUCCCCUGACGGUAUCUAACCAGAAAGCCACGGCUAACUACGUG
rnacentral:rRNA from 1 species